rnacentral:tRNA from 1 species
UGCAUCAGCCGGGAAUUGAAAUUGGGCCGCCCGCGUGGCAGGCGAGCAUUCUACCACUGAACCACCGAUGG